UAGAACUAAAGGGAAUCAAAAGGGGCCCUUAGCUGAUGUCUGCCUCUGGCCAUCCUAGCAGGUUAAUCCCCGUCUCCAGGAGGUCUCUUUCCAGAUACAGAGCGAUGAGUGUUGUGAGCAUGCACCCUUAAGAAAAUCCAUUUGAAGAUUUUAGUCGCUGGACAGAAAUCUUUCAACUAUAAAAGUGGAAGUGGCAAAAUUCUGAAAUCAGGCCCUUGAAUGUAAGAAAACAAUGGUGUCAAAAGAGGGAGCAGUGAAGACUAUUUGACCUGAAGAUAAGAGCAUGUUAGAGCACUGGGAGAGAUGAAUGGCUUGUAGGCGUACAGCUGAGAGUGAGCUAGCAACACUGAACCUCUACGGACUGAAGCGUAAUGAGCACCAUGAAAGGCCCGUGUGGCCGGCAGAGCUAGCGGCUAGCUGUGCCCAGAGUAGAGACCCUCAACGGUG